rnacentral:misc_RNA from 1 species
GAUGAAGAACGUAGCGAAAUGCGAUAAGUAAUGUGAAUUGCAGAAUUCAGUGAAUCAUCGAAUCUUUGAACGCACAUUGCGCCCGCCAGCACUCUGGCGGGCAUGCCUGUCCGAGCGUCAUUUCAACCCUCAGGCCCCCAGUGCCUGGCGUUGGGGAUCGGCGUGGGCUGGCAAUCCUCCGGGGUUGCCGCGCCUGCCGGCCCCGAAAUUCAGUGGCGGUCUCGCUGUAGUCCCCCUCUGCGUAGUAGCACAACUCGCAUUGGAGCUCGGCGGUGGCCAUGCCGUUAAACACCCCACUUCUGAAAGUUGACCUCGGAUCAGGUAGGAAUACCCGCUGAACUUAAGCAUAUCAAUAAGCGGAGGA